GGACAUGGUCUGCUGUGCCCCUUGGCUCCUGUGAACCCUCAUAAAGUUAAUAAGUCACAGGUGGGAGUCACUGCCUUGGGGAUGCUGAGUGCCCUCCGUGCCAACUAGGCUUAUGAAGACAGGAUUUGUGGACUCAGAGCCCCUCCCCGCCAGACUCCAAACAGAAUGCUGCGAUGGGAUCAGUGUGCCUGGAUUAUCACCUGGUUCCUUGGGAGUCUCUAAAUGUGAACAUCACUUUGUUUUGAUUUAUAGAUGAUUGGAGUAAAUAUAAGAGAAGUUAAGAAACCCACCUGGGUCAGAGGGCUAGUGGGAGGUGAUGAUGUGGGGACAGAACCCUGGCGGUGCCAUGUCCCUGUGCUUCCUAUGAUGUCAUAGCGACACCCAGAGAUAGGGGAUCCUUUAGCCACCCGAGAAGGCCUUCUCUUUGAGAGGCCCAGAUACCAACUGGAGGUGUUCGCAAGGGAGACUAAGCCAAGCAGCAUCCUAGGAACCUUGGAAGCACGUGUGGAGGAGUGAUGGCAUUCCAUGAUGACAUGUGACCUGCUUUGGACAUGUGGCAUGAACAUGUGCUUAUUCUUACUGCAGCGUAAUCAAACCUGGCUAGUGAAGCCAUUAGUGUCCUGGUCUGCAAGUGAUGGUCAGGGGCAGAAGCCACAAUACCAGGAGACUAAGGUGUGGCAGAAGAGGACACUGACCAGUGGGCUCACUAUGAUAUAAACUCCACAAAGACGGAGCUUUUAUUUGUUUUCAACAGUGUUCAGGAGAGUGGCUAGCACCCAGUGGGUGCUCAUUAGAUGCUGAAUGAAUGGACAGAGGACAGGAGGUAAGGUGUGGUAGUAGCCCACAUGAAAGCAAUCAGCCCAAUAGACAAAAGUGCCUGAUUCCGGAGACAGCUCACAGUUCCCUGCUCAUCCAUUCACUUACUCAACUCGCACAGGCUGAAACACAGACUGCAGAAGGGCUCUGUACCUCCCCCAGCCCCCCCCCCAGUCACCAGAUCCACUUAAAACAGUGACCAGGUUUCAUGGGAAAUGGUGAAGAAAGUUUUCCAUUGGAAUUUUAUUUUGGAAAAGUAAAACAACAACUUGAAAACAGAAUCCUACAUUGGGUCAAAAUAAAAUUAUAACUGUAUAUUAAAACUUUCAAUGAA